UACGUAGGGAGCAAGCGUUGUCCGGAAUCAUUGGGCGUAAAGAGCUCGUAGGUGGUUUGUCGCGUUGUUCGUGAAAACUCACAGCUUAACUGUGGGCGUGCGGGCGAUACGGGCAGACUGGAGUACUGCAGGGGAGACUGGAAUUCCUGGUGUAGCGGUGGAAUGCGCAGAUAUCAGGAGGAACACCGGUGGCGAAGGCGGCCUGCUGGGCGAUAGCUGACGCUGAGGCGCGACAGCGUGGGGAGCAAACAGG
rnacentral:rRNA from 1 species